UCCCAGAGCCACAUCACCCUGCAGUUCUUGCUUGGUUUCCCACUGAAGUUAAGCAGGGUUGAGCCUGUCUAGUCCCUGGAUGGGAGACCUCCUGGGGAAAAUUAGUACAUUUUGGAU
rnacentral:rRNA from 1 species